rnacentral:lncRNA from 1 species
AAAUACAAAUGUGUUAAAUCCACCAUCGACAGAUAAGAGCUCAUUUGGAAGUGCUUUUAGUGAAAUUUUUCUGAAACCAGUCCUUAGUAAAAUUCAAGUGGAUCCUGAAAAAACACUUUAGUGCUUCUUCCAACGCUUUCAGUCAUUUUGAAAGCAUUUUUAAACGAGCCCCAAAUUUUUAAAAUUUGAAGUGUAUCUUUCUUACAUUGUAUGCAUAUAUUCCUAUAGAAAAAAAUUAGGGCUGAUUUACUUUACCUCCAUGUUUUGUCAAUACAAACAUUGCACAUGUUUUGUCAAUACAAAUAUUGCACAUGUUUUGUCAAUACAAACAUUGCACAUGUUUUGCUUGAUUUAGUAGGCACUACUUUGUAUUGUGUAUUGGGAAUCAUGAUAUUUUCUGUGUGAAUGAGCAGAGAAACUUGAGUAGGGAAGGUCAUGCAAUCUCACAACCAAAUGAGUACAACUCUAUGUUUUGUCAAUACAAACAUUGCACAUGUUUUGCUUGAUUUAAUAGGCACUACUUUGUAUAGUGUAUUGGGAGUCAUGAUAUUUUCUGUGUGAAUGAGCAGAGAAACUUGAGUAGGGAUGGUCAUGCAAUCUCACAACCAAAUGAGUACAGCUCUAUUUUGGCACCUUUCGACUCUCAAUAUGUAAAAUUUUCGAAGCACAACCAAAUGAGAUUCUUCGUAAACUCUCUGUCAACUUAUGUUUUUGGCAUAAUAUUUUAUAAUGUUGGCACGAAAAUUGACGUUAAACUAUGAAGUGGCAGAGAGUCCUACUUUGAAAUAGUCUCCCUAACAUUUAUCGGGUAAAGAAAUAUUAAUUCAAAUUUCUUUCAUGAUUUAUCUGUUUGUAUAAAUAACGGCAGAUAUAAAAAAAAAAGUGUACAACAAUCGAUGCAUGGAAGUUUCUCUCGUAGUAGAGGGUCGUAUUGGUGGCCUCUGUAUGGCCCGAGCGAGUUAUCAAAUGCAUGCAAUGACAAAGGAAGUGAGAACGACAUAUCAUGCAAUUGAAUACAAUGAAUAGUUUGUUUGUUUAUUGAUAGUCUGUUCGUUUUCAAUACAAACAUUGCACAUGUUUUGCUUGAUAUAGUAAGCACUGACUUUGUAUUG